CGGCGUUAGCUGCGGCCGCAUGUCCUCAAAUUAAAAAAUACAUAUCCACCCCCUGCAAACCAGUGAAGUUUCCCAUUAAAGUUGACACCAGGGGAUGGUCUUAGCAGUCUCGUCCUCCUCGGAUUGGUGAGCCCUCCGGAAGCCUCUUGCACACACAUUUUUUAACAGAUAAGUCAAUCGCCAGAGACUUGCCCCCUUCUUCCCUCCACCUUAUCCUAAAAUACCUUUUUGCAAAGCCCGAGCCCGCUCCCCUAGCCGUGCUGGCAGCUGCCUCUUCCUCCUCUGCAGUCUACCCUCCGCUCAAGGCUCCUCAUUGCAAAGAGGUGUGUGUGUGUGUGUGUGUGUGUGUGUGUGUUCGUGUGUGUGUGUGUGCGCGUGUGCGUGUGUUCCUCCCCUUGCACCUUCCUUGGGGUGCAAAUCAGCCGGGACUGUCGUUCCCCGCACCGUGCUUUCCCCACCGAGCCCGCAGGUUCCCAGGAGCCGCUUGAGAACGUUCCCCAGCUGCAGGCGGCUGUCUUUGGGAAGGUGGCUUCGUACCCGCUGGGUCGCACGCUGCAAGUGGGGAUUUUGAGGUGCCCGUUGUGCUGGACCCUGACUGUGGACCGGGGGAAAGUAAAAAAAGAAGAUGUCCUUUUGCGGCAGGAAGCUCCAUCUUUAGACAGGUCUAAAGAUGCUAAAACAUCACAAGAAAUCCAAGAGCCUAGCGUUUGGAUGGGAAGGAAGGCUGCUUGCUAGACUUGAAAUUUAAAGUUCGUUUCGACAAGAUUGCCAAGUCCACUUGCUGAGGAGGACUCAGCCUUUUAUGCUGCCAUGUGUUUCUCUCCGUGUGCAUAAACUUGUGUCCGUCCGCAGCGAUGCAGAGUGAAGCACCUCUGCCGUUCCCCGUCCCAGGGUAACGAUGCCGUUUUGGGUCCGGGACCCUGCAGCCUGGCCGGGCUGUGAAUCCGCGGCGGGGGCAGAACACCUGGAAUGGGGCUGAGUUCAACCGUGAACCUGCAAAGGCAGCUUCGGCAUCUCCAGACACCCUAAAUUAAGUUCGAGAAUUUGGGGAAAAUGCUUACGUCUUUGCUCGCUGAUGAGAUGUGUUAUCGUUUUGCUUCUCUACACAGCCUACAAUUCCAGUUCGCCCUGAAAAGAAAUAGAGUUAUUGAGAUAGGUGUGACCGAGCUCACUCUAUCUUUUUGUUCCUAUUAAUUGGAGUUUUCCAGCAGUGAAGGGGACAUUAUCUUGCCCGGAUUCUGCUUUUAUUCCCGGGACUUUGCAUAGUUUGCUUUCCUUAAUUCCACAGGAAGUGGGUGCCGAGAGACAGAGGGGAAGGCGCUCCCGGGGCACUGCAGGGGCACGCCUGAGCCAGUCCUUGUUUUUGUUGUUGUUUUCCUGGACUAAUGACUCCGUCUGAUUGAGGGUUUAGUCUAUAAAAUCAGGGUCUCCGUCUCUCCUUGAUCUCAGGAAGAACCUGGACGGCCACUCACACUGAUAUCGGGAGGGGAAAAAACAGAACGAAAAAGCAAAACCUCCAGCCCAGUCCCGACGGGGAGGGCCGGCGGCCGGGCCGAGGGGCUCCCACUUCACCCCACCUCGUGUCUCCCUUGCCCGGAGGGAAAGUUUUCCGCAGCAAGCAUCUGGGGCGGUGCUGCCCUCGAGACUUGACUUCUCCCCAUCGGAGCAGAUCGCUGAGCCCGCGUACCCCGGCGAGGAGAACCGCACAAACCGGAGCUGCUCUGGUGCAGUUUUUGGCCGUGUUUUAGGCGGCCCAUGGCUCAGUCUCGCACCUCACUUCGGAGCAGGACCCAGGACUUCUGUCCCCUCUACACCACGGGGCCGCCGCAGGGUCGUGGGGGGAGGAUCGCUGCACUCCUCGUACCAGCUCCUCGCCGUCGGCUCCCUCCCGGUCACCUUGGCUAGAGGCCGUGGCACCCUGGAUGCCCCGCGCACUCCCACCCCGCCCCGGAAUUACCGGCGUAAACCUGGCUCCCAAGGGCCCUACCGGGCUUCUGCCCCCACCUGGGAACAUGCCGCGGGGAGUGGGCUUCAGAGAAACGACUUUAAUGCAGCCUUCCUUAAGGCAGAAUGACUAAUUUUUAUCCCAACAAAUCUUUUCUCUCUUUACCUCUUUGCUUUUCCUUUCUUUCGCAGAGAGAGAGAGAGAGGGAGGCAGGGAGGGAAGGAAGUAAAGAAAGAAAGAAGAAAUGAAGUGAAAAUGUUUGUGUUCUAUUUGUCAGAGGAAACAAAGGCUGCACCUCUAGCUGGCAACUGGCUGGCGCGGAGGGUGGCGGGGCCGGGGGCAGCGCGGCUCCCGGGCUGAUCCCGGCCAGCGAGCGCCGCCCCGAGGCCGCCGAGGCGCCGGCUCCGCCGCCGCCAGGAGCGGCAAAACGCCCAGCGAGGGUGGCCGCCAGUCCCGCCUAGUUUCUGCCGUGGACAAGUGGUUAAAUACAGCCUCAGUCAGCGGAUGGGAGAUAACUUUUUAAUAAUUAUUAUUUAUUGCUUAUGGUUUAUGCUUUUUACUGGAGUUAUAAUGAUUCAAGCAUUCUCUCUCUCUCUCUCUCGUUUUUUUUUUCAAUGGGUAGUUAAGAAAUAUCACAGGGCAGUUUUCCUCGCAUUGCUUUGUAUCUUUUGGUCUAAUGGAUAGCUAGAAAAAAGAGAGAAAGAGCCCACACCGAGCUGUUUCCCAUUCACAUGCAGUCCAGUGAGGUGGAGAGGGAGGACAGAAGGAGGGAUUAAGGCCAAUUUUUUAAUCUUUUUCCUAUAACUGCGACAAGCUCCUCCCGUUUGUAAUGUGUUCUUCUUGGGAAUAUCUGCAUGAUUCCUAAGGAGCAGACACCAAAUACUCCCAAAGGCUAAUGCUGAUGAAUAGGAACUGUGAAAAACAGCUACUAUAACCACAUUUUAAUAAAAAUACUGCUUUGUGAGCACCUAAGUAAGUCACAAAGAAUCCCUUAAUGAUAUCUUGAGAUUCAGUGCCAUUUCACUUAGAUAAUCUUUAAUAGAUUUUUCUAUCAUGUAACGGUGUAUGUGUGUGUAAUGGAUAUGUACACAUAUAUAUAUUUACUGAUAUAUGCUCAUGCAAACACUUGAAAUCCCCCUAUUCUAGCCUAUUAAUUAUUUUAGCACUUAUUCCCCUGACAAGCAAAAGUUAUCUUAUAGCUAAGACAUCCAUUUACUGUCUAAGAGCUCUAACUUGCCGCUGACGUCUAAAUUUAAAAUGUCUUUUAAACUUUAGCAUCGUCCAGAAGGGGAAAAAGGAUCUAAUUACCUUAAAAUAUUAUUCCAGCCAAAGAAUUAAAGCUAAUACAUCACCUGCUUAGAUUUUUUUCCUUUUUUUUCCUUCCAUUUUUUUAAACCAAUUGUUAUUUAUUUUAAACAUAAUCGUGAAAUUAAAUGGCACAUGCAGUUUUGUUUUUCAUGUUUAACUUGAGUGGUUUUCCUUAUUUAUGUUUUCCAUUUGCAGUUGGGAGAGGGCUUCAUUUCCUUUUCAAGUUGCAACAGUGAAAGCUCUGUUAUAUAUAUACAUUCCUCCUGCUUGAUUUGUCUGAAAGAAAGAGCUUUUAGUAGAGCUUUUAGUAGUACGAGUUCAAGUGUGACUACAACUUUUGGUUUACAGAUUCUAUUGGCAUAAAAAAUGCAGCAGUGUGUCCUAGUGAGGUUUUUAAAUCAUCUUUGCAGGAAAUAGAAAAUAUUCAACAAAUUGUAAACAUAUUGUAGAUGUGAUACAUGUAAGUAUACUAGACUGUACAUAUACAUCCCUGGAAACAUCAUAUCUACAGACCACAGGAACGUAGUACUAUAGGUUCCUAAAUUAAUAUGUAAAUAUAACUGAAGUUUAAUAGUAAACUUAAAAUGCAUUCCCUCCACAAGUUUGAUUAAAACUUGAACCUGUGUAUAUUUGUGUACCAGAAUGUUGAGAAAGAGAAAAACGAUGAUUAGUGAAGUAACAGAAAAAUCUAUAUUCAUUUCAAGCUGUACCCCUUACCAAGACACGGAAUCAGAUGAUCUUUUCUCCCCUCGGGCAUUUAGAGACCUCUAACCUAACAACAUAAAAGUAAAAACCCAAGCUGCACAACAUUCUCGCCCAGAAGACUUUUUUUCCCCUUUCUAUUAUCUUUUAAAUGUUUGUUUGUUUGUUUGUUUUUCCUGGGGGUGGUUGUUCUUUGUGGGCUUGUUUGUUUGUUUUCUCAUUCUGCCCUGUCUUUCUGCUCCCCGCCCGAUGUGGUGUAAACUGUUUGAAGUUCAACAACAUGGCUAAGUUUUAUUGUAUUUCCGGUACAAUAGAUUUAUAUACCGUCCUAUCCAGUCUUUUAAAGGCUUUUCAAAUGAAAUGAAGUUAAGUUAUAGACAAGUUUCUGGCUCCUGCGUGUAUCUCUUGAACUCGGUGAAUUUGCUUCUUCAAUGAACUUUUAAACUUCAUAAACAUGCACUUUCGGGACGGCUGUCUUAUUGUCUUCCGUUUAGUUAUUUAAUUCACUUGAGGACAAAACACGAUUUUACAAGAGGUUUUACUCUUCAAGAGAGAUUUUUUGUUGCACUCUCGUGAGUUUGGAAGGGAGGCGCACCAGGAUUUUUU